rnacentral:rRNA from 1 species
AGCUCUGUAAGCGUAUACCAAAGUUGUUGCAGUUAAAACGCUCGUAGUCGAAUUUUGACGUUUAUGCUUCUUCAGAUCCCUGAUGGGUAUUUGAAUGAAUUGCUGCGUCUUUGCGGAUUUUAAAUUAAAAUGCUUGGUGAUACUUAAUUGUUAUUGCUGCAUUUUUGCCGCUGUUUACUGUGAAAAAAUUAGAGUGCUUAAAGCGAGCGAUUUGCCAUGAAUAGAUUAGCAUGGAAUAAUAGAAUAGGACCUGGUUCUGUUUCUAUUGGUUUGUCAGUUUCAGGUAAUGAUUAAGAGGGACGGUCGGGGGCAUUUGUAUUCCAGGGUUAGAGGUGAAAUUCUUAGAUCCUUGGAAGACACACAGCUGCGAAAGCGUCUGCCAAGGACGUUUUCA